AGAGUUUGAUCCUGGCUCAGCAUGAACGUUGGCGGCGUGGAUUAGGCAUGCAAGUCGAACGAAUCCCGGGGGGGUAACUCCUCGGGGGAAGUGGCGAAAGGGGCAGUAAGGCGUGGGCAACCUGCCCCCCGGACGGGGAUAGCCCUUCUAACGAAGGGGUAAUACCCGGAGACGUGGUUGGGAGGCAUCUCCCGAUCACCAAAUGAGUUUCGCCGGGGGAGGGGCUCACGUGCUAUUAGCUUGUUGGCGGGGUAACGGCCCACCAAGGCGAAGAUGGCUAGCGGGUGUGAGAGAACGACCCGCGCCACUGGCACUGAGACACUGGCCAGACUCCGACGGGAGGCUGCAGUCGAGGAUCUUCGGCAAUGGGCGCAAGCCUGACCGAGCGACGCCGCGUGCGCGAUGAAGGCCUUCGGGUUGUAAAGCGCUGUCGAGGGGGAGGAAAGCCGCAAGGCCUGACCUAUCCCUGGAGGAAGCACGGGCUAAGUUCGUGCCAGCCGCCGCGGUAAUAC
rnacentral:rRNA from 1 species